CUUUCAGCCACCUUGUCCACGGUUGCAUUGUGUUGGUCUUUGUAAUGUGCGAACAAAGCAGCACUGUGCAACUGUGUAGAUG
rnacentral:pre_miRNA from 1 species